AGGGUUCGGCUUCGUAGGUGACCUGCGGAGGAUCAUUAAAUAAUCAAUAAUUUUGGCUUGUCCAUCAUUAUCUAUUUACUGUGAACUGUAUUAUUACUUGACGCUUGAGGGAUGUUCCAAUGCUAUAAGGAUAGGCACUGGAAAUGUUAACCGAGUCAUAAUCAAGCUUAGGCUUGGUAUCCUAUUAUUAUUUACCAAAAGAAUUCAGAAUUAAUAUUGUAACAUAGACGUAAAAAAUCUAUAAAACAACUUUUAACAACGGAUCUCUUGGUUCUCGCAUCGAUGAAGAACGUAGCAAAGUGCGAUAACUAGUGUGAAUUGCAUAUUCAGUGAAUCAUCGAGUCUUUGAACGCAACUUGCGCUCAUUGGUAUUCCAAUGAGCACGCCUGUUUCAGUAUCAAAACAAACCCUCUAUCCAACUUUUGUUGAAUAGGAUGACUGAGAGUCUCUUGAUCUAUUUUGAUCUUGAACCUCUUGAAAUGUACAAAGGCCUGAUCUUGUUUGAAUGCCUGAACUUUUUUUUAAUAUAAAGAGAAGCUCUUGCGAUAAAACUGUGCUGGGGCCUCCCAAAUAACACAUCUUUAAAUUUGAUCUGAAAUCAGGUGGGAUUACCCGCUGAACUUAAGCAUAUCUGAAGGCGGGAGAGAAAAAA
rnacentral:rRNA from 1 species